rnacentral:rRNA from 1 species
UACGUAGGGGGCAAGCGUUGUCCGGAAUCAUUGGGCGUAAAGAGCGUGUAGGCGGCUCGAUAAGUCUGCUGUGAAAGUCCAGGGCUCAACCCUGGGAUGCCGGUGGAUACUGUCGGGCUCGAGUCCGGAAGAGGCGAGUGGAAUUCCUGGUGUAGCGGUGAAAUGCGCAGAUAUCAGGAGGAACACCAAUGGCGAAGGCAGCUCGCUGGGACGUGACUGACGCUGAGACGCGAAAGCGUGGGGAGCAAACAGG